rnacentral:lncRNA from 1 species
AGCAAGUAGGGUUCCAAGAUCCUCUCUUCUCAUUCCAUGGGGUACUCUUAUGGCAUGUAGGGGUGCCACUGUGAUGUCCCAAGAAAAAGAACUAUAAAAAGAGUAUCUUAUAUUUGUGUAUAUAAUAUGGUAUGAUCAUGUUGUAUAAUUAUAUUUUCAUAUCCUAAAGAUAUGAUUAGAUGCCAUGUUUAGUUGUUAUGUUUAUAAAGAUAAACUAUAAUAGUGCAUCA